rnacentral:lncRNA from 1 species
AGACUCAGAUAUUUGAACCCAACCAAUAGACAGAAGCUGUUGACUCCUGUGGUUGAAUUGGGGAAAAGGUUAAAGAAGCUGAAGAGGAGGGCCACCCUGUAGGAGGACCAGCAGUCUCAAUUAACCUGGACUUCUGAGAUUUCUCAGAUACUGGCCCAACAGCCAGAUGUCCUCUGAGUUGCCCUACCGUUAGCUGACUGAGACAGAAGCAAAUACCUACCCCUAACCAUUGGACUGAUGUCGGGGACCACUAUGGUUGAAUUAGGGGAAGGACUGAAGAAGCUGAAUGGGAGGAUGACCCCAUAGGAAGACCAGCAGUCUCAACUAACUCAGACCACAGGGAGCUCCCACAGACUGAGCUACCAACCAGGAGUAUACCAACCAGGAAGUCAACUUCAAACAAUCAUAAAUGACAAUGAAUCAUGGUGACUUCCCAAAACUAUGGAGAUCAAAGAAUGACAAAAUCAAAACCAUACUGAAUCAAGGAAAACUGAGCUGUCUGCAACUUCACAAGAAGACUUACUAGACCUUGGACAUUCAUCUUCUUUUAGAACUCACCAGAUCUCAGAUUGAAAUUUGCAAGCGUCUGUUUAAAUCAUCCCCCCCAUAAGAGUUUACAUGUGACUAUGUAUGUAUAUGUGCAGACUAACUGAAAUGAUGCCAGAAUCUCAAGGAGCCUGAUAUUAUUUAUCUCCUGCCCAACUUACCCCAGUAAGCAUCAGUUGCAUUUGGUUACUCAUUGUACUCUCUCAUACUCCUAUCAAGCCCACAAAUAUAGACCAUCACAGAAAAAAAAAACUGAUACAAUGCAAAAAGCAAUAAAUCAUGGGAACUCAGUCCUAACAGAUACAUCCACAUCACAAUUUCUGCAUCCAUAGUUCAAGGAACAUCUGGAAGAGAGUGGAAAUAACUCAUGAGCCAGAAUAACAGAACUGUCCUGUGAAACAGUCAAUGGCAAUGUCAGUGGAUAUGGAGUUACGACUGAAAAUUCUGAAGAUAAACUACCAAAUUUCUCCAAAACAAAAAGUGAUUUUUUUUUGUUCUUUAGGCAACUGAUAGAGUUCCUAUGGCACACAAAGGAAAAUUCUAAGACAUUU